AGGGCUGUAGCUGAGUGGCUAGAGCAUCUGCUUUGCAUGCAGAAGGUCCCAGGUUCAAUCCCCAGUGUCCCCA